GACGAACGCUGGCGGCGUGCUUAACACAUGCAAGUCGAACGGAAAGGCCCUGCUUUUGUGGGGUGCUCGAGUGGGGAACGGGUGAGUAACACGUGAGUAAUCUGCCCUUGACUUUGGGGUAACUUCAGGAAACUGGGGCUAAUACCGGAUAGGAGCUCCUGCUGCAUGGGGGGGGUUGGAAAGUUUCGGCGGUUGGGGAUGGACUCGCGGCUUAUGAGCUUGUUGGUGGGGUAGUGGCUUACCAAGGCUUUGACGGGUAGCCGGCCUGAGAGGGUGACCGGCCACAUUGGGACUGAGGUACGGCCCAGACUCCUACGGGAGGCAACAGUGGGGAAUAUUGCACAAUGGGCGCAAGCCUGAUGCAGCAGCGCCGCGUGCGGGAUGACGGCCUUCGGGUUGUAAACCGCUUUCGCCUGUGACGAAGCGUGAGUGACGGUAAUGGGUAAAGAAGCACCGGCUAACUACGUG
rnacentral:rRNA from 1 species